GCUAAGCUCGGGCGAGCGGCCGCGGGAAUAAUGAGGGUGCAAGCGUAAAGCGGAAUGAACGGGCGCAAAGCGUGCGCAGACGGCUUAGUAAGUCAGAUGUGAAAUACCUAGGCUCAACCUAGGAACUGCAUUUGAAACUAAUAAACUAGAGUAUCGUAGAGGGAGGUAGAAUUCCAGGUGUAGCGGUGAAAUGCGUAGAUAUCUGGAGGAAUACCAGUGGCGAAGGCGACCUCCUGGACGAAAACUGACGCUCAAGCACGAAAGCAUGGGGAGCAAACAGGAUUAGAUACCCCAGUAGUC
rnacentral:rRNA from 1 species